GACGAAGGGGGCUAACGUUAUUCGGAAUUACUGGGCUUAAAGGGUGCGUAGGCGGCGCGGUAAGUCGGGUGUGAAAUCUUGGAGCUUAACUCCGAAACUGCAUUCGAUACUGCCGUGCUUGAGGACUGGAGAGGAGACUGGAAUUUACGGUGUAGCGGUGAAAUGCGUAGAUAUCGUAAGGAAGACCAGUGGCGAAGGCGGGUCUCUGGACAGUUCCUGACGCUGAAGCACGAAGGCCAGGGGAGCAAACGGG
rnacentral:rRNA from 1 species